GAUUCCAUUCUAAGCGGUGGAUCACUCGGCUCGU
rnacentral:rRNA from 2 species